rnacentral:rRNA from 1 species
AGUGAACGCUGGCGGUAGGCCUAACACAUGCAAGUCGAACGGCAGCACUGUAAGAGCUUGCUCUUACGGGUGGCGAGUGGCGGACGGGUGAGGAAUACAUCGGAAUCUACUUUUUCGUGGGGGAUAGCGUAGGGAAACUUACGCUAAUACCGCAUACGACCUACGGGUGAAAGCAGGGGAUCUUCGGACCUUGCGCGAUUGAAUGAGCCGAUGUCGGAUUAGCUAGUUGGCGGGGUAAAGGCCCACCAAGGCGACGAUCCGUAGCUGGUCUGAGAGGAUGAUCAGCCACACUGGAACUGAGACACGGUCCAGACUCCUACGGGAGGCAGCAGUGGGGAAUAUUGGACAAUGGGCGCAAGCCUGAUCCAGCCAUACCGCGUGGGUGAAGAAGGCCUUCGGGUUGUAAAGCCCUUUUGUUGGGAAAGAAAAGCAGCAGGUUAAUACCCCGCUGUUCUGACGGUACCCAAAGAAUAAGCACCGGCUAACUUCGUG